CCUACGGGGGGCAGCAGUGAGGAAUAUUGGUCAAUGGGCGCGAGCCUGAACCAGCCAAGUAGCGUGAAGGAUGACUGCCCUACGGGUUGUAAACUUCUUUUAUAAAGGAAUAAAGUGAGGCACGUGUGCCUUUUUGUAUGUACUUUAUGAAUAAGGAUCGGCUAACUCCGUGCCAGCAGCCGCGGUAAUACGGAGGAUCCGAGCGUUAUCCGGAUUUAUUGGGUUUAAAGGGAGCGUAGAUGGGUUGUUAAGUCAGUUGUGAAAGUUUGCGGCUCAACCGUAAAAUUGCAAUUGAUACUGGCGCUCUUGAGUGGAAGAGAAGUAGGCGGAAUGCGUGGUGUAGCGGUGAAAUGCAUAGAUAUCACGCAGAACCCCGAUUGCGAAGGCAGCAUGCCGGCUUCCUACUGACGCUGAAGCACGAAAGCGUGGGGAUCGAACAGGAUUAGAUACCCUAGUAGUC
rnacentral:rRNA from 1 species